GUCUGGUACAAGAUUACAGCGUACUUCCUAACAAGCUGUUUGUGACCAAGAAGUCAAUGUGUCUUUGGCCAGAUCGUACUCAGAUGAGCCAGUGGAGACUUCAGGAACAGAGACAUUGGGUCCUGAAGCCUUCCUUGCUCUAUAAAGCUGAGAGAUCUCGGCCUGACUCUGCCAAGUGCUGAUUCCAAUCCAUCCCAAUGGACUUCAGGGGCACUGAAAAGCAACUGAGC